AAAGAAACUAACAAGGAUUCCCCUAGUAACUGCGAGUGAAGCGGGAAAAGCUCAAAUUUAAAAUCUGGCAGUCUUUGAUUGUCCGAGUUGUAAUCUAGAGAAGCAUUAUCCGCACUGGACUGUGUACAAGUUUCCUGGAAUGGAGCAUCACAGAGGGUGAAAAUCCCGUCUUUGACACAGACUACCAGAGCUUUGUGAUGUGCUCUCAAAGAGUCGAGUUGUUUGGGAAUGCAGCUCUAAAUGGGUGGUAAAUUCCAUCUAAAGCUAAAUACUGGCGAGAGACCGAUAGCGAACAAGUACCGUGAGGGAAAGAUGAAAAGAACUUUGGAAAGAGAGUUAAACAGUACGUGAAAUUGUUGAAAGGGAAACGCUUGAAGUCAGUCACAUUGGUCAGGGAUCAACCUUGCUUUUUAGUUUGGUGUACUUUCUAAUUAAUGGGUCAGCAUCAGUUUUGACUAGUGGAGAAAAAUUAGGUGAAUGUGGCAUCUUUUUGAUGUGUUAUAGCACUUAAUUGCAUACAUUGGUUGAGAUUGAGGAAUUCAGCAUGCCGUGAGGCCAGAUUUUUUGAUCAUGAAUCAUGCUUAGGAUGCUGGCAUAAUGGCUUUAAUCGACCCGUCUUGAAACACGGACCAAGGAGUCUAACAUGCCUGCAAGUGUUUGAGUGGAAAACUCAAGCGCGUAAUGAAAGUGAAAGUUGGGAUCUUUGUUGUAGAGAGCACCGACACCCGGACCAGAGCUUUUGUGACGGUUCUGCGGUAGAGCAUGUAUGUUGGGACCCGAAAGAUGGUGAACUAUGCCUGAAUAGGGUGAAGCCAGAGGAAACUCUGGUGGAGGCUCGUAGCGAUUCUGACGUGCAAAUCGAUCGU
rnacentral:rRNA from 1 species